CCUCCGACCUUCUGGCUCCAAUCCACGCGAGGCAGCGGCGUGCGGCUGGCGACGCGAGGAGACGACGCGGCUGCUCACCGACGUCGACGGCGACGGCGACGGCGACCUCUUCCCAUCCGACGUCCUUCUCGCCGAUUGUACCAGCAGUUCCUAGGAUUGGUGAAGACGAGCCGCCUCCUUCCUAGGACUUUGUUUUGACUCCGAAAGGUCCUACAUUGGGUACAAGGGGCAGUUCAUCAAUCACAUUUUGGCUGUGUUCUACUCUUCAAAAGAAGUUGGCUGUUUAGUUGGAAAUUUAGCAGGUUUCUAGUGUUGUUCUGCACUGCUGCUUGCACUUGAUUUCUUUGUGUACAUGUUGUUGGGAGGAAUCAGUGGUGGACUAGAGUGAUACAUUCUCAUGUGGAAUUUUAGGAAGAGAAUUUUCUUUUACACUAUCAAUGUGGUGCAUUGGCAUGUGCACUGUCAGUGGAUUAUUCUAGUAUUGGCUUUGUUCUCUAGUCAUAUGUGAUUGGGGAAUUUGGCUUAUAAGCCAUGCAUGCAUACACCUUGUUUCUGUUCUGUAGUCAUAUGUUUUCUGCUGCAUAUCCCUACUGCACAUUUGAGUAAUCAUGCUGAAUCAUUGUUGCCAUUGAAGAUGAUAUUGGACCAACGUUACUAGUCCUGAGGCAGAAUGUUCAGCUUGUGAUCAGCAGAACGUUACUAAUCACUCUGUCUAUCAACUUGUAAUCAGCAGAAUAUUCAGGCAAGAUAUCGUGGUGUCCUUGCUUUCUUUUUCAGUCUCAAGUGACAAGAGAAUUCAAUUUUGUAAUCAGCUUGUGUUAUGUUGAAUGGCUUCAUUCCAGCUCAAACCGAAUGCACUUUUUUGAG